AGAGAUGGAUUGGUGCCUUCGGGAACUCUGACACAGGUGCUGCAUGGCGUGUCGUCAGCUCGUGUCGUGAGAUGUUGGGUUAAGUCCCGUAACGAGCGCAACCCUUGUCCUUAGUUACCAGCACGUUAUGGUGGGCACUCUAAGGAGACUGCCGGUGACAAACCGGAGGAAGGUGGGGAUGACGUCAAGUCAUCAUGGCCCUUACGGCCUGGGCUACACACGUGCUACAAUGGUCGGUACAAAGGGUUGCCAAGCCGCGAGGUGGAGCUAAUCCCAUAAAACCGAUCGUAGUCCGGAUCGCAGUCUGCAACUCGACUGCGUGAAGUCGGAAUCGCUAGUAAUCGUGAAUCACGAAUGUCACGGUGAAUACGUUCCCGGGCCUU
rnacentral:rRNA from 1 species